rnacentral:snRNA from 15 species
AUACUUACCUGGCCCGCUUCUCGAGGUGGUCACCAUGGCCUCGGUUGUGUGGUCGGUCUUCACCUUGCACUUUGUGAGGGCCUUCCGCAGUCGGCCCUUCGGGUGUCCGGCAGGGCUAAAUUUUUGUUAGGCUGAGGACCCGCGCUAUGCGCGGCCUCGGC